UCCCUGGUGGUCCAGUGGCUAAGACUCUGUGCUCCCAAUGCAGGGGGCCUGGGGUCAAUCCCUAGUCAGGGAA
rnacentral:tRNA from 1 species